CGGAUGGACGCACUCUGAUGCAGCGAUGCCGCGUGAGUGAAGAAGGCCCUUGGGUUGUAAAGCUCUUUCGUCGGGGAAGAAAAUGACUGUACCCGAAUAAGAAGGUCCGGCUAACUUCGUGCCAGCAGCCGCGGUAAUACGAAGGGACCUAGCGUAGUUCGGAAUUACUGGGCUUAAAGAGUUCGUAGGUGGUUGAAAAAGUUAGUGGUGAAAUCCCAGAGCUUAACUCUGGAACUGCCAUCAAAACUUUUCAACUACAGUAUGAUAGAGGAAAGCAGAAUUUCUAGUGUAGAGGUGAAAUUCGUAGAUAUUAGAAAGAAUACCAAUUGCGAAGGCAGCUUUCUGGAUCAUUACUGACACUGAGGAACGAAAGCAUGGGUAGCGAAAAGGAUUAGAUACCCUCGUAAUCCAUGCCGUAAACGAUGUGUGUUAGACCGUUGGAAAUUUAUUUUCAGUGUCGCAGGGAAACCGAUAAACACACCGCCUGGGGAGUACGACCGCAAGGUUAAAACUCAAAGGAAUUGACGGAG
rnacentral:rRNA from 1 species